rnacentral:rRNA from 1 species
CCUACGGGUGGCAGCAGUGAGGAAUAUUGGUCAAUGGGAGGAAUCCUGAACCAGCCAUGCCGCGUGCAGGACGACGGCUCUACGAGUUGUAAACUGCUUUUGUACCGGGGUAAAAUGCUCUACGAGUAGGGUUUUGAAAGUACGGUACGAAUAAGGAUCGGCUAACUCCGUGCCAGCAGCCGCGGUAAUACGGAGGAUCCGAGCGUUAUCCGGAUUUAUUGGGUUUAAAGGGUGCGUAGGUUGUUUUUUAAGUUAGCGGUGAAAUACCGAGGCUCAACAUCGGGGCUGCCGCUGAUACUGUAGGACUAGAGAUCGGAUGCAGCAGGCGGAAUGUGUGGUGUAGCGGUGAAAUGCAUAGAUAUUACACAGAACACCGAUUGCGAAGGCAGCUUGCUAGGCCGGAUCUGACACUGAUGCACGAAAGCGUGGGGAUCGAACAGGAUUAGAUACCCGAGUAGUC